UGGUGGAGUGAUUUGUCUGGUUAAUUCCGUUAACGAACGAGACCUUAACCUGCUAAAUAUGCCGCGCUAACCCGUCCAUCAAAACCCAUGCGUGGCUCACGCGGUCCGCUGCGGGGUGGUGUCGCUUCGCGGCGACGUCAUCCCGCCGGCAGGGCCCGGGUCCGUGUGGGCGGUAGGGUUCGGCAUCCGUGCUUCUUAGAGGGACUGCUGCGCGCCUAGCCAGCGGAAGUUUGAGGCAAUAACA
rnacentral:rRNA from 1 species